AUUGAACGCUGGCGGCAUGCUUUACACAUGCAAGUCGAACGGCAGCACGGGGGCAACCCUGGUGGCGAGUGGCGAACGGGUGAGUAAUGCAUCGGAACGUGCCCUGUCGUGGGGGAUAACACAUCGAAAGAUGUGCUAAUACCGCAUACGACCUGAGGGUGAAAGCGGGGGACCGUAAGGCCUCGCGCGAUAGGAGCGGCCGAUGUCUGAUUAGCUAGUUGGUGGGGUAAAGGCCUACCAAGGCGACGAUCAGUAGCUGGUCUGAGAGGACGACCAGCCACACUGGGACUGAGACACGGCCCAGACUCCUACGGGAGGCAGCAGUGGGGAAUUUUGGACAAUGGGGGCAACCCUGAUCCAGCCAUGCCGCGUGCGGGAAGAAGGCCUUCGGGUUGUAAACCGCUUUUGGCAGGAACGAAACGGUGCGGGCGAAUACCCUGUGCUAAUGACGGUACCUGCAGAAUAAGCACCGGCUAACUACGUGCCAGCCGCCGCAGUAACAC
rnacentral:rRNA from 1 species